CCUGCCACUGCCCCAUGGCCUCCACAGUGGGCCUUUGUAGAGAUCUAUAUAGAAAAGGAAUAUGUCCAGAAAUGGAGAGCAAGCUUAUGACCAUGCUUGUGAAUCAGGAAAAUGGGGUUCUAAGAUACCCUUAAUUCAAGGGUCCUCAAGACCAGUCUGGAAAACAUAGGGGCAGGCCUCUUGAGAGAGGGGGAUGUGUGGGAACAUAGCUCUGUUAUAGAGAGAUACACAGCAUGCCCAAAGCUUGAUCCACAAUAGUCCAUAAACCAGACAUAACAAUGUAUAUCUAUAAUCCCAGUACUAUAAAGGUAGGAAGAUUAGAUGUUCAAACUCAUUCCUCAUAGUGACUUGGAAGCUAGCCUAGGUUAUAUGAGGACAGGGGGUGGUGGGGAGAAAGAGAGAGAGAAAGAGAGAGAGAGAGAGAGAGAGAGAGAGAGAGAGAGAUUCUGUUUACCUAAUUUAGGUGCCCCGCCCUCACCCUGUCCUCUAUCUCUUUCCCUGAAUUAAAAGCUGCACGGCUACAGAGAACUGGGUCUGAUUUGGAAACAGCUCUGCCAAGAGCUAGCACAGGAUGGGCAGUCCUCAUUCAAGUAAUGAAGGCAGUAAUGAAGGCACAUAAAGGCUGAGAUCAUGGGUAGAAAAGGGCUCAUGAAUGCCACAAGGUACCCAUGGCCUCCUCUUCUCCAAACCCUCGAGGUGCCUCCCCCUAGCAAGCCCCCUGGGUUGGGCAGCACUAGAAUGAGGGCUGAUGGGAACAUCUUUCCACCCUCUCUAACAUUAGGUAUGGGAUGAAGAUGAGGGGUGCCUCAGCCUCUGUCCUCUCAGCCCCAGAGCUCACUGUUCUGAACCGCACCCUGCCUUGCUGAGCUGCACGUCUCUGGUGCUGCUUGGAGAAGACUCACACCGAGGCAGAGCAGAACCAAGAGAGGGCAGGGACAGUGCCAGGAGGAAGCCCUGAGCAUGUGUCAAUACUGAGCCAAGACAGGAGGUUAUUUUUAGAGGCAGCCUGGUGGGGUAGCCGUCUGUUCUGUUGUGCUCUGACAGGGAGAUGCCCUCAGGAGGAGAGAGGAACGUCAUGGCCUAACCCUCAGAUUCUCUGGGCCUCCUCUGAGUCUGACAGAGCUGGUUUCCUCCAGGGAGCCAACCUGCUGACGGUUCCUUAGUCUCAAUUUUGUGAGCAUAGAAGCAGGAUAGAAGGAGAGAGUCACUAAGGGUCUUGAACAGCCUCUGUGCGCCAGGUGUCUUACACACGUCUCUCAUGUAAUUAAUUCUCCCAGAGAGAGAGAGAGAGAGAGAGAGAGAGAGAGAGAGAGAGAGAGAGAGAGUAUGUAACUUGCCCAGGAUCACCCAGCUUGUGAACGGCAAUGCCAGAACUUUAACCCAAAUCCCUCCCUCCCUUCACUCCGUGCUGAUUCAUGAAAACACGUCAUCCCUGCCUACAGGAGGACCCUGAAGACUCUGGUCUGGCCACAGCUCCUCCUUCAUUCCUGUGACGUUUGGACCCAACCUUCCCCUGAGCCUUGCAGACUCCUUGAGUGAGUCAGCUCUGGCUCCAGGCUACCUACUGAAGACAAUGGACGUUUACUGUCUACUGUAAAUCAGGCCCCAGGCUCUGCUCGACCCUGUAAUCGACACAGGAAGUAGUGGAAAGGCAGCCUCACACACUGGGGGCUCCAGAUACGCUCUGUCCUCUGUGCUCCAGGCUGCACCCCUAUUUUUCCUCAUUCAUUCAGCCCCCAAGGCCAACACUUAUGACCCCACAGAUGAGGAAAACAAGGGCUAGGAGAGCUCUUGGCCUGGACCCCAGCCCACUUGUGUGCCUAGGUAAACUUCUCUUCCUUCCCUGGUAUUUUUCAGUCAAAUUCUUCCGGCCUCAGGAGUGCCAUGGGCCUAAGAGGCCUUAGAGACCCUCCCAAGCACAGCACCUUUGGGCCCUGGCUUACAAGCCAGGGCCCUGAGCCCUUUACCUUUGUUGUUUGGAAUGAGAGUGGAUGGAGAAGUCUACAGACUGCACUCUGACAAACAGCAACUGCUGCUCAUUUACAGUACCCUCGUCUGCUCCAGCCCUCCACAGAGGCCCUCUACCCUGAGCUGGGAAGUCCAGAAGGCAGGACCAGGAUCGGGGGUGUUCUCCUGGUAGCUUUAUCUCUCUGGAAGCCAGGACAUUCAAGGCCAGAGUUCAAGCCCAGGGAGAAGUUAAGAGACUCAACUACAUGAAAGAGAAAUACACGUUGGAAAAUGCAGGAAUCCAGUCUUUCAUCAGAAGCUGAAGUCAAGGGAAGGCCUAUGGGUUGGAGAAAACAGAGUGGGUUAUAGAGGAAGAGCUUGGAUGGGAGCCCAGAGCUCAGGGCCCUGUCCCUCUGACCCCCUGCAGGACUUUGACUGAGGUUGGGGUCUAUCCCUGUGGGGCUCACUCCACAUGAGGGAAGGGUCCCUCAAGCAUCCUCUUAGUUCUUCAAAGUAGUAGAUAAAGGCCAGUCCUCCUUCGGGCUGUCACAGGGGCCCUAACAACAAGGCAGCCUGUGUUAGAACCCGUGAGGGUUGAGCAGGGGGUGGGCAGUGUGUGUAUACAGUCAGACACUAUACACUACAAUCCCUUAGACUCACCAUCUCAUGUCUUCCCAACCCUCAGCACAACUGGAUGAAUGGCUGCUUUUCGAGAGCAGGUUUUGUUUUUGUUUUGUUUUGUUUUGUUGUUUUUUGUUUGUUUUUUACAAAAAGGAAAAAAAGGAGAAGUUGCAAUAGGAAAGGAAGAGAUUACAGAAAGAAGAAAACCAGCUAACGGAGAUGGAUUCACAAUAAGGGACUGAUGGUCCGUUCCCUGGCGGCAAAGGAGUUGGCGAUAAUGGAGCCAGGAGAGCUACUGUGUGCCCUCAAUAUUGUCUCAGGCCGUCACGGGAGGGGUGGGGAGGAAAGGAGGCCGAGCCCAGGAGAGCAGGUAAGUGGACAGAUGGGAAGAUAGAAGGAACUAGAUUUGAACCUCCAACAGGCAGACCCUUUCCAGUCUAUGUGACCUGGGACACUGCUGCCUCCUGGCCUCUAACCCCCUCCCUAGCACCCUAGUCAGUCCUUCCAGGGAGACUUGGAAAGAACAGAGGACGCAAGCCACAGACUCAACCCUGCUCGCUCCACCCCAACCCCUGCAGGACUUUUGCUCAGGCUCCUGUUACCUGAAAGAUUCUGCAUUCCUCUUUUUUAUUUUUUUUCUUGAGCUCGCCUGUUUGUUUUGCCUCCUUUGGCAGUCAGCUCACACCACCCCUGACAGGCAGCAGCGUUCCCCAAGCAGAACAAACAGGUCCAACACCCUUGCUCUAGUAACAUGAUUUCUAAGCUCCAUCAUUGUGCCUGGCCCUGUGGCCAAGGCUGGCAGGAACAACGGGGCUUAGCCAAAGAUCGCCCAUAAGCACACCUGUGGCUCAACAAAGGUGUGUGUAGCGGGGUGGGGGUGGCUGUCAUACAAAAAAGCACGAGUGUGGUAGGAGACAGUGUGGUGUCUCCAUGCUACCCCACCAGCAUCCUGCAAGGACAAGAGUUAAGGAAGCAGAGGCUGCUCCACAUGGGAGGGCGGUCAUGAGUCUUAUCCAGGAGGCAGCAUCUAUCCAGGUCAGGGUUUUGAUCUGGAAGGAAGCUGUGGACCCGGAUACCAACCAGGAUUGGGAUUGGGUGGCGCUCUCUACAGAGGACAUUCUUGCUUGUUGUCUUCGUUCAGACACGAUUACUGAGCCAUCUUGUCUGUGUCUUGCUUGUGGCCUGACAGUUCUGUUCUAGCACACUCUUUUCAGGAGAUCCUACAGCUGGCUGAAAGGACCUGGCCAGUCCCUGUUGUCUGUAGCUGUCUGUGUCCUCCAGAACAGGGGUUAAAGCCUGACACACAGCAGACUGGCCACUGUGACCUUACCUGCCCAAGAGGUUGCAGCGUGCAGGCUCCUUCCACCCUGGACGUGCGUUGGCCUGGAGGUUCACAAGCUGUUCAAAAUCUUAAGGCCUCAAGAGACAGGAAGAGAAAGGACUCAGAGCACAGCAGAAGCCAGAAGCCAGAAGCCCAACCCAGGCAGGCGGGCUAGCAGGACUGCUAUUUAUCCUGAGGACAGCCCUGACCUUUCCCCAACAGGGACAGAUGCGGGGAGCCUGGCUACAUCCUUCCCUUUAAAACAAGAAAUGGAAGCAUUACUCACAAAGCCCAGCCAUUUAUCAUGGUCUGGGGACAUUAAUUUGACAGUGUGUCAUUUUCCAUUUGGUUCGGGCCCGGUGGAGGUUGCCCUCGAAACACCUUCAAUUAAAUGCAGCUAAUAGCACAGAGCUAUUUUGAGCAAGGAGGGCCUCUGCCUCCCCCCAGGGCUGUGGCAUGUGUGUGCUGGGGGAAGGGGGUACUGCUGGGAAGUGUGGUUCAGGGUGAUCCAGGGUCGGAUGGCUCUCGGGCUCCAUAUGCAGACAGAGUGCACACAGGGCGGACAGGGUGAAGAAGUACCCCCUUUGUCUUUUGGAUGUCCCCACAAGCAGUUGGGCCGCACUGUGACCCUAGACAUAGGAAGGGGGUGAACCAGUCCUUUGCCCAGCAUGGAGAAAGUAUGGCAUUUAGAGUGUUGAAUGCUGGCAAGCCGAUCUAGCUGCUCUGUCUCCUAAGGUGUGACCUUAGAUAGGGCCCAUAACUGCUUUGAGCCUCAGUUUCUUUUGUCAACUGGAGACAACUUCUUGCACAGAACAGUUGGAUGGUUUCUAUGGCCUUGUAAACACAUGCCAAACAACACACACCAGAGAUGCGUUCAUUUACAGGGGAUGACUCAAUAGCUUUGCUUACAUCCUGAAUUUUACAAAUGAGGGAAAGGCCAGUACAUCCCGCACACCUGGGUCUCCUCCUUCAUUGGAACUCAGGAAGGACAGAGUGGUUCAGGGUGAGCCUUGAGCUCUAGAGGGUAGAACCUAGAUUGCAGUCCCAGCUUGACCACCUCUGUGGUCUGGGGCAAUCCACUUAACGUCUCUGUACCUCAGUGCCCUGGCCUGGGAGAUGGAGAUCAGCCUGCCAACACUCCCUGGCCACAGUGAUUGGAUGAGAGACUAUGAAUGAAUGCCAGCAGCAAGUCGACCUGUUCAUCAUGGCUGCUGUUCUUUUCCUCACCUUAGCCCUGGGCCUAGAGGACAUUGCUGAUGUCACCAAUUACCUCAUUUCAGCCACGGACUCGGCGUUAAGUAUGGAGGACUGUUCUAUCCUCGUGGUGUUAGAAGGCAGGUGGUGUUAGAACCUGGGUCCCUCUGAGAUCUGUUGUUUCUACUUUCAAAAAUGACUGUAGGGCUGGAGAGAUGGCUCAGCGGUUAAGAGCACCCGACUGCUCUUCCAGAGGUCAUGAGUUCAAU
rnacentral:sRNA from 1 species